AUUGAACGCUGGCGGCAUGCCUUACACAUGCAAGUCGAACGGCAGCACGGGUGCUUGCACCUGGUGGCGAGUGGCGAACGGGUGAGUAAUACAUCGGAACAUGUCCUGUAGUGGGGGAUAGCCCGGCGAAAGCCGAAUUAAUACCGCAUACGAUCUACGGAUGAAAGCGGGGGACCUUCGGGCCUCGCGCUAUAGGGUUGGCCGAUGGCUGAUUAGCUAGUUGGUGGGGUAAAGGCCUACCAAGGCGACGAUCAGUAGCUGGUCUGAGAGGACGACCAGCCACACUGGGACUGAGACACGGCCCAGACUCCUACGGGAGGCAGCAGUGGGGAAUUUUGGACAAUGGGCGAAAGCCUGAUCCAGCAAUGCCGCGUGUGUGAAGAAGGCCUUCGGGUUGUAAAGCACUUUUGUCCGGAAAGAAAUCCUUGGCCCUAAUACGGUCGGGGGAUGACGGUACCGGAAGAAUAAGCACCGGCUAACUACGUG
rnacentral:rRNA from 1 species